GGCAGAGGCUGACUUUGCUGUGACAACUGUCAGCCCAUUGAUUGUCAGGUUUGAUUUGGCUGAUUUGACUGGAUAGGCAGGUGUUCCCUUCUUCCCCCAUUGCUCCAUGUGUGUCUCUCCCAAAGCUGCAUGCUCGGUGGAAGAGGACACCCUUCCCAGAUAGAAUGAGUGUACUGUUCUUUGGUUAAGAGUAUACAAUAUCUGUAGUCCCCUGCUAGAACCUCCAAACAAGCUCAAAGUUCAGGGGAGCUAUUCUAGCAGAUGCCUUUGUGGUUGUGAUUGUCAGGACCUGGAAACUGGCCUCUG
rnacentral:snRNA from 1 species